UCCAAAGAACCAUUUCUAAACAGAGAACACUCCUCUUGUCUUCCAAAAACUAUGCCUGGCUGGACCCACCACUCUGGAGUGGCUGUGAGGAGACUUUCUAACUGGACACCUUGCCAAGGGGUAGCAAGCGACUCGAUUCAAGGGCUCCUCUUUAAAAAUCCAUCCCUCACCUCACUUCAAGCAGCAAUCUCAAGUUUGACUCAGAGAUUGUUGUCCUGCCAGCAGUAAUCAAUAAGUCAGUUACAGUGGAGUUGAGUCUGUGUUCUUCCUUUGGUGUUCUUAAAUGUCACAGCAUUCAAGCUGCCAAGAUGUCAAGAGACUGAAAGCAGAGUCAACGGUGAUGGUCUGGAAGAGGCCCCAAGUACCUUUAUGGAGAUCGUGAGCAGUUAGUUCCCUGGUAAGGACCCGCUUGUUCGCUGACAUGUGUGAAGUGGAGCUGCCUGCCUGACCCCAUGCCGUUCGCUGUGCUGUGGAUAACUUACGGGAUUCCUCCUCCCUUUCAUCCUCACUUCCUGGCUGCCUCCCAUUCUGAGUUGCUUUGUUCGGCUGUCAGUUAGAGCUAUAGGCUGUGUGCUGCUACUGUUGCAUGCAGUAGACGUCUAGAACACAAAAGUGGAACAAAGUUGCAGGUCACAUGUUAGAAUGUAUUCCUAGAGCCUAGAAAUACUGAAAA
rnacentral:sRNA from 1 species